GAUGAACGCUGGCGGCGUGCCUAACACAUGCAAGUCGAACGGAGAUUACGGACGGAAGUUUUCGGAUGGAAGACUGUAAUUCUUAGUGGCGGACGGGUGAGUAACGCGUGGGCAACCUGCCCUAUACAGGGGGAUAGCAGCUGGAAACGGCUGGUAAGACCGCAUAAGUCGGUUAAAUCGCAUGAUUUGAUCGGGAAAUGAGCAAUCAGGUAUAGGAUGGGCCCGCGUCCGAUUAGCCAGUUGGCAGGGUAAAAGCCUACCAAAGCGACGAUCGGUAGCCGGGCUGAGAGGUCGGACGGCCACAUUGGGACUGAGACACGGCCCAAACUCCUACGGGAGGCAGCAGUGGGGGAUAUUGCACAAUGGAGGAAACUCUGAUGCAGCGACGCCGCGUGAGUGAAGAAGUAUUUCGGUAUGUAAAGCUCUAUCAGCAGGGAAGAUGAUGACGGUACCUGACUAAGAAGCCCCGGCUAACUACGUG
rnacentral:rRNA from 1 species